UUAAAUGGCUGCGGUAUUUUGACCGUACUAAGGUAGCAUAAUCAUUAGUUUUUUAAUUGAAAGCUAGAAUGAAGGGUUGGAUGAAAAAUUAUCUUUCUAAGUUAAAUUUAAUUAGAAUUUUAUUUUUAAGUUAAAAAGCUUAAAUGGAAUUAAAAGACGAGAAGACCCUUUAGAGUUUUAUAAAUUAAUAAAUUUAUUAAAGAUUUUUAAUUUAUUUAAUUGGGGUGAUUAAAAAAUUUAAGUAACUUUUUUUUUAUAAUUAUAUUAAUUAAUAAUUUUUUGAUCCAAAUUUUUUGAUUAUAAGAUUAAAUUACCUUAGGGAUAACAGCGUUAUAUUACUUUAGAGUU
rnacentral:rRNA from 1 species